CGAGGGGCAGAUAGGCAAAGGUAUAUCAGGUGUGAAACUGACAAACUUGUUUACUUCUGUACCAUCUCUCUCACCUCUUGAUUUGAACUCAAGAACAAAAGGAGAAAGAGAUACGUCAAGAAUACCACAGAACUGCCUUCCACCACUAAAGCUCCAGGCAACAUCAAAUAUCAGGAAAGCGUCAUUUGCAGAGUCAAUUAAUAGAGAGAGUUUAAGCAACAUAAUAGAAUCAAAACAUUUCCCACAGCAAAAGAGGGAAGAUGGAGACAAUAUAGUAUAUGUGAAAGAUAAAAGGAACUGCAAAAGGCCCACUUUUAAAAGAAAGAAAAAACUUUUCAAACACACACCACAUGGAAAUGAACCACAGUGGAACAAUAAAGAGCAAGAGAAAAUGAUGCAGGAAGAUGAAAGUAACGGAAAUGUAGUUCUGAAUAAGCCCCAUGCGUCCAUUCCAUCUUCUUCUCACCUGGAGCAGGGUCCUGGAGUAAAAGAAGCGGCAUCACAAACAGUAUCAUGGUUCUGCCCUCCAUCACUGACCUUCCAGGAACUGUCAGAUGCAAUGAUAACAUGUAAGGAGCCAGCUGAUGAUAUUUUAAGCAAUAUAGCAAGAUCAAAAUAUAUGUCACAGGAAAAUGAAGACAGAGUGGACAUGGCUUUGAAAGAGGUAAGGCAUCCCCAAAGAAUGCCUCUGGAGGUGAACCAGUCUCCAGUUGCCCAAGAAUUGCAGUUGAACAUCAAAGAAAAAGAGGAAGAGAUACGGCAAGAUAAAGGUAAACAUUUUGGGAUUCAGAGACAGUCUUGUGUUUGCAGCUCUUCUCCACCUUACUCUGAAGUGGACACAAGAAGGGAAGGAGAAGCAGUCAUGCUAAGAAAAACAAGAUCCUGUUUUCUACAACCCAAACUCCAGGAGUCAUCAGAUAUGGAAAACAUAGCAUAUGAAAAGUCUGUUUCAAACAGGGUUAACAAAGCUAAAAAACAUACAAUACAGGAAGAAGAGAAGAGAGUUAAUAUGGAAAAAGUCCUACUUUGGAAGAAAAAGAAUUCACCACUUUUACAGGAAAUCCAGCUGGACGUCAAAGAGCAAAAGAACAAGAUACAAAGAAUUCGUGAACCAAGUGUGAUUUUGAUCUGUACUUCCAGACCUGCCACUUCUUUUAACUUGAAUACAAGAAUAAUAGAAGCAGAUGACAGAGCUAAAGUAACAAGAUACUCUUGUUCAGAACUACCCCACCAGAAAUCAUCAGAUGUAGUGAAAAAAGCAAAUCGAGACUCAACUGAGAGAGGUAUCAUAAGCAGUGUACAAGCAGC
ensembl:lncRNA